rnacentral:lncRNA from 10 species
GUGCUCUCCAGAAUUAUGGACUUCCCUGGUUCUACAGAAUGAUCACUUAAUCUCUUCAAAAAUGCAGCUGGUUCUAGUAAGUGACAAAGCACAGCAGUUAAACACAAGAAAAACACAAGGAUGUCGGUAUACAGAAAACAGAAAAAGUGAAUCCACUUGAGCAAACCUUUCACAAAGAGACGGGUAGUGCAAGAUGCUUGGCCAGCGUUGUUAGAAACCACACAGGUGUAUUCCCCACUCUGAGAUAUGUCAAUAUUAAAUAAUUCCAGUUCUGCCACAGUGUCUUCAAAAUAGAUGUUGCACCGGUCUCCUUUCACUAGUUCUCUGGCACCUCUGAACCAGUUGACUUUGAAUGGAGGGGUUCCUCUAAUAACGCUUGUGAAGGUUACAUUUUUGCCUGGUAGUACUUCCAAAGGUUCAGGUUCUUUCACAAAAGAGGGUGGUUCUAUAUAGACAUGGAGAACAAUUAAAAGAUCCUGUAAGCUUCAGAUGGAGUUGCAAUUUUGAAUAAAACAUUAGAGCACUUUCAAAUGUUUGUCAACAUAGAUGUGCACCUGAAGAGGAAUUUGUAAGAAAUUCCUUACAAGUUUGACUGUCUACUGACCUUGUACAGUUAGCACUGCACGACAUUCAUCAGACCCAGCGACAUUAGCAGCCACGCAUGUGUAAUUGCCCAUAUCUGAGGAAUCCAGAGAAUUCAACUGCAAUGUGCAGACAUUAUCUGAAAAUGUGGUUUGGUACUUUGCUCCACUGACAAUCUUGGUUUUCUCAUGAAACCAGGCAACUGAAAUAGGUGAUGAUCCAGCUACUUUGCAUUCCAAGAUGCAAGAAGCACCUAACACCCCACCAGUAUUUUUCAGUCUUCGUGUGAAAGAGGGAGGAACUGCUCGGUCUGUGUGAGGAAAGGUAAGAGACUCAUCAUGAUUUGAAAGAAUAGAAGAGACUUGAAAGAAGGAAACUUGUAAAAGGAAUUUGCAUAAGCAACCAGAAGAAAACAGCAGAACUAACCUGAAACAUCAACCACAGCUGUGCAGCUGCUUUUCCCAACAUUAUUUUGAACCUGGAAAGUGUAUGUGCCUGCAUCUUGCCUUUCAACUGAGAGAAUCCUUAAGGAAGAGAUUUUGUUGUAGAAGCUAAAUUUGUGUUUUUGGCUGCUGGUCAACAGCUUUCCAUCCUUGUACCAUUCAACAGAGAGUUCCGGAGUGCCAGCCACCUUACACUCCAGAGUGCACGUUUCUCCUACAGUCACCGUCAUCGGUCCUGCCUUCUCAACAAUGACUGCGGGCUCUGAAAUAAAACGUGAUAUCCAUCUGUCAAAGUCUGGGAUCUUUACUCUGUCUCUACUAUCACAUUCACUAAGAUUGUUUCUCCCAGUGAGAUGGUUAUGUUAGGGUGCUCUCUCUCUCGACUUUAAAGUGUGAUUCCAUAAUUACAUGCAGUCAUAGAAUUAUAGCUAUUUUUUAUUUUAAUAUUUUUUCUUUUCAGUUUUUUCUUUAUUUUUUGUUUUUCCCACCACUCUUGCUGUCGUCUUAUGUAGCAAUUAUUCUUAAGAAAUAUAUGUUCGUGCAUGACUCAACUUCAAAACAAUUUAAACAAUGUGCAUUAGAUAGUAUAUAUUGAUUUCCACUUGACCCUCUGUAGAUCAAAGUCUACAGGUUAUUGUGAAUUACUUGGUAUUUUUGCUCUACCUUAAGGUGCUAAAGACAAUUCUUUGAAAGUUGUUAUUCAAACAAUUGUUUAAUUGUCAUUAAUUUUAUGUGGAAGCUUUGCUAUCAAAUGCCAACCUUUGGAGUUCUUGUUAGUUUUAACAAUUACUCUUGUAGCACAUGCUGGGCUCUGUAUUCUUUCAUGCUUAAUCAAAGAGAGUCAUGAUUGUAUCUGCUAAUUGAUAUAGACAGGUAGUUAUUAAACAAUAAAACAGAUGUCUAAUUUUUGUUAGAAUCACAGAAACAGAAAAGAGUGUUUGAAAGAUCAACUAUGUCUUUCCUCUAGACCUUUCAAAUAGAUGAGGAUAAAUAUAGUUCUAGAAGAAACUCAGAAAAAGAAUCUGCCAGUAACUCUUAGUAAUUCAUUCCAGCAUUUGGCACCAGUUUCUAUCGUGGGCUAUUGUACCAACCUAAGACCAUCAGUGUGGCCAUGUUCUCCCUCAUUCCACCAUCAUUCUUGAUUUGGCAGAUAUACUUUCCAGCAUUAGCUGGCUCUGCUUUUGCAAACUGUAGAGUUGCAACAUUUUCCACAAAUGUAAUCCUGAUGUUUUCACUUUCUCUAAUCACUUCUUCCUUCUCUUUAAGCCACUGGACAAAAAUAGGCUGGGCGCCUUCUAUGGAUGCUUGUAAUUCAGCAGGCUCUCCGGCUACAACAGUGAGGCUGUUCAGUUUGGAGACAAAUCUUGGUGGUUCUGAACAGGAAAAGAUGGAUGGAAAUUGUUGAAAAGAUUGUCCAGAUCAUGCGAGAGUGAAAAAAGUAGGAUUUUGCACAUUUAUGACAUUUCUGCCAUGUGGAUGAACUAUAUUUACCUUUCAAUUUUACAGUACAAACACAAGUAUCACUUCCCACUUCAUUCUGUGCUUUGCAGUGGUAUUCACCGAUGUCUGAAGUGUCCACAUUGAGAAUGUGAAUACUUGUGUGGAAGUUUUUGGAUGCAAUCUUGUAUUUCUUGCUGCUUCUGAGUUGCCGCUUGUCUUUGUACCAUACCACCUCAAACGGUGGUGUUCCCGAAAGUUCACAUUCAAGACUGACUUCAGCAUUUUUAAGGGUUUCUACUAUAGGAGGGAAGCUGCUAAAAACAGGUGGCUCUGCAAAAAACAAGAAUUUCUCAUGAAUUGGGCUACUGAAUUUCACAAAAUGAAAAUUUUUUAUUUGUCUUUAAAUUGGAAGAAAGGUUUAAGAUAUUCUAAUGGGUAAGUAGAGUCCAGCACUAACACUCUCAUGGGAUAACAGCCUCAGAAGCCAUUUGCCUUCACAAGAUAACCAGCUAGAUGGGCAGAGAACCCAGAUAGAUCCUAGAUGUCGUUACUGAACAGUUCAACAUUCUAUCUACUACACCUUACUGAUGUAUCUUAGGCUACAAAGAUUGAUACAAAAAUUGCAAACAAGCAAGUAUAGCAAUAAAUAAUGAUUUGCAUGAAGUAUGGAAUUCUAAUUUCAAGGAUGAUUUUUUUUGUAUAUGUUCUAUAACAGACACUUGGAAGUCAUCACAACAUCCGUGAUCUAAGUCUUCCAUUUCAGCAAAUGAUUACUGCAAUAAUUGUCUUAAAACAAGACAAACUUGGCCUUUGUGACAAAAAAAAAAAGCACUGGAAAAUUGCAGCAAAAAAACACAGAUACUAUUUGUACCAAGGUAUAGUCAUAUAAUUUUUAAAGGAUAGGAAGUGAUCCUUGAGAGAGAAGGAAAAAAUAUUAUUGUCCUGUUUUAAACAUAAGUUUAAAACCUGUAUUGCUUUCACUUUGCAUAGAUAUAGUAAAAGUGCUUGUUAUUAAUGAUAUAGAUUAUAGUGAGAAUGAUAUAUCUGUAAGUUGAUUGAAAGCAAAAGACUAAUUUUAAAAUGCCUACUUCAUUUUUUUGUGCAGUUUUGAAACAUCACGUUUGAUGUUUGGCAAAUGUGUUGAGGUAAUCAGAAUUAUGACACUGGAAUAACAAAAAUAUUUCAUAAUGACUAGUUACAUGUAAGCAAAAUUCAAGAAGGAAACCAUCUAAAAAGGGAAAUAAUACUAGCUCAGAAAAAUAUUCUAUGAUCUCAAAUGGAAACUAAAAUGAUAGUAAAUGAAUAAAGAGCUAUAAUACCCAGGGGAGAA